GGGGAUUUAGCUCAGUGGUAGAGCACUUGCCUAGCAAGCACAAGGCCCUGGGUUCGGUCCCCAGCUCUU
rnacentral:tRNA from 1 species